rnacentral:rRNA from 1 species
UACAGAGGUCCCAAGCGUUGUUCGGAUUCACUGGGCGUAAAGGGUGCGUAGGUGGUGAGGUAAGUCGGAUGUGAAAUCUCCGAGCUCAACUCGGAAAUGGCAUUGGAAACUACCUUGCUCGAGGGUUGGAGGGGGGACUGGAAUACUUGGUGUAGCAGUGAAAUGCGUAGAUAUCAAGUGGAACACCAGUGGCGAAGGCGAGUCCCUGGACAACUCCUGACACUGAGACACGAAAGCGUGGGUAGCAAACAGG